rnacentral:tRNA from 2 species
GGGCGCAUAGCUCAGUUGGCUAGAGCGCUGCCCUUACAAGGCAGAUGUCGGGGGUUCGAGUCCCUCUGCGCCCACCA